rnacentral:rRNA from 1 species
AUGAACGCUGGCGGCGUGCUUCACACAUGCAAGUCGAACGGAAAGGCCCAAGCUUGCUUGGGUACUCGAGUGGCGAACGGGUGAGUAACACGUGGGUGAUCUGCCCUGCACUUCGGGAUAAGCCUGGGAAACUGGGUCUAAUACCGGAUAGGACGAUGGUUUGGAUGCCAUUGUGGAAAGUUUUUUCGGUGUGGGAUGAGCUCGCGGCCUAUCAGCUUGUUGGUGGGGUAAUGGCCUACCAAGGCGUCGACGGGUAGCCGGCCUGAGAGGGUGUACGGCCACAUUGGGACUGAGAUACGGCCCAGACUCCUACGGGAGGCAGCAGUGGGGAAUAUUGCACAAUGGGCGCAAGCCUGAUGCAGCGACGCCGCGUGGGGGAUGACGGCCUUCGGGUUGUAAACUCCUUUCGCUAGGGACGAAGCGUUUUGUGACGGUACCUGGAGAAGAAGCACCGGCUAACUACGUG